UUUAUUAAAAAUGUCUCACUGAGGAGAGGCAUGCUUACAACUUUGUGUUAAUAGGUGUGGGAUGUCUUUACACCACAUAUUCUGUGUGAAAGAGAGCACCUUGGCUUCAGCUGGAAGUUGUUGCUUGUCAUCAAAACCUAUGCUAUGGAAGUCCCUGUGUAGGAAGCACAGAGUGUCUUGCAGCCAUUACGUGUUAUUUGUAAGUAAGUGAGAGCUGAAACAGCUUCUAAAGCCACUGCCCUGAAAAACCGGGCGAUAGAUGGAAUCAGCAGGGAGCUUGCUGGGGUAAAACAAGGUUGGUGACUAGAACACAACUGUGUGUGUGAAAAUAUGUCACGUCUUAGUGCUUGACUCAAAUACUAUGACUAUGAUGCUGUGGACAACUGAAUAUAGUAGAAAGGAACAUCAAAUAUUCUCAGUGCAAUAAAAUGCAUGCUAAGGGAGAAAUAUGUAUGCUCGUGCUGGCUGCCCAGGGAGGUGGUGGAGUCACUGUCCUUGGAGGUGUUCAAGAGUCACAUAGAUGUGGCACUGAGGGAUGUGAUUACUGGGCAUGGUGGGGGUGGCCUGAUGGUUGGACAAGGUGAUCUUAGAGGUCUUUUCCAACCUUAACAAUUCCUUGAUGGUAAUCAGGCUGCAGGUCCUCUGAUCCAGCAUCCUGGAUGGUCCUUGCUGCCCAAAGCAUGCUCAGCUUCCAGAUGAGAGGGAGUGCUGUGAAUGAUGGGGACUAAAGCACAACAAGUGCUGUUACAGGAACCUGGAUAAUACAUCUAAAACACGUUCCUUUUAGAUUACAGCACAACCAGGCUUAAUAAAUAAAACAAUUCUGUACAUACUUGCAGGUUUUGCAAAAGCUGUUUCACAAAGUUGAUCGAAAAGCUGAGUCGGUUACAAAAUGGUGAGAGAUGCAUGGGUUGGCAGGGAUGUGCUUUGCUCCAGGGAACAGUUCUGAGCUCAGCAUUAGGAGGGAUGUUCCCAUUCCAGAUGAAUAUCCCAUUCCAGAGAAUAAAACACACCAGCUGCAAGAAGGAUGCUGCGGUGAUUUUUAGUGGCAGAGCAAAAAAAAAAAGAUCACAUAAAUGACCCUGGUGAAAAUAACACAAAGUCCUGCCCCUUCCUGGAUUGAAACCUGAGGACCUGUCACAGGCAGGGAACAAGUGCAAGUGCUUUUGUGCUGAGUGCCAGGAAGGGUGCCUGCAUCUGUGGGCGUGCCUCUCGGCUGCUGGGAGGGCAGGAAAGAAAUUGGGAAUAGUUUUAUUCAGCAGGGAGACACGGGGAGCCAUGUCCUCGUCCUGAUGUAAUUUUAUCUAAAUUCUGCCCGCUUUCAUGCUUUGAAGAGGAAUUUCACUACUGGAAUAGACCUCAUAGAUUAGCAAGGAAAUAAUCGGGAAGCCUGGAGUGCCCGAUGUACAAAUAAUGGUUUUCCUUCCUCUUCUUCCCUCUAUGCCACACUUGUUUCUUUUGUCUUGCUAUACAUUACUCAGUGCCAGGAGAAAAUGCAGCUCGUGAGGAGGACUUGAGGAGAGCUGUGCAGGUCGUGCCUCCCACCUCAGCCCCGUGAGCUGCCAGCAGUGAGAGCCCAGCCUUGUGCUGUGCCAACAGAGCAUUGCACUGCAAAUGAUGAGAAAGAACUGUGUUAUACUACAGGAAGCAAUGCGUUUUACUGCAUAAAAUAUGUGGCUGGAAAUUUAAACAUUGUGGGUGAAUGGGUAAAAUGAAUAGCAAAUGUUUACUUGCUGUACACAAUGUGCAAAGUCUAUUUACCUGUUGUUUAAAUAGGGCUGUUUCCGAGACAACAGAGGUUAAAACAGGCUGCAGCCUGCUUUUCUGUACUUAAUGAGGCACUCUCCAUCACUGCUGCAGAAGGUAGGUAGAAGCAUCCUGUAAUAAUUCAGAUUUAAAGGAGCAUUGGUGUGCACGGAUGGAGGAGAACAGGCUGCAAACCCAUUGCUGGCUCCUUCCAAGGUGUGUCUGGGAAAUCAAGCAUAAAACAGUGUAUGCUUCUAAAUUGUUAAAUCAUAUUAUGUUGGUCAUAGCUUUUACUAUGCAGCAGUUGUGAAUUAUAGGAGCAGAUAUUUUGUUUUGUUAGCCAGGAUGCCUUGGGGGGAAGAAAACUCCUUUAGACUAAGAGUGAUGGAGCACUGGAGCAGGAUGCGAGACUAGAGAGGCUGUGGUGCCUCCUUCUAUGGACAUAUUCAAGACACAACAGGAAGCCUACCUGUGCCACCUGUGGUAGGGUGCCUGAUUUGGCAGAGGGGUUGGGCUCCAUGACCCAGCUCCUCACUACAAGAAAGAUUGCAGUUCUGCAGGUCCCAGCUCCAGCCCCCAACGGGUGUUUGCGGUGAGAAGCACUCUGAGAACUGAGGGAUCAAUGAUCCAAAAUAUUUAAGUAUUGCCUGUGUGGUUCUUAGAACUUCUGCCAUUGCUUCUUUUUUAGUAGCUUAUGUGUUUGAAUUAAAAACCGCAGUGCAAUGAAGUGGAAUGCAAAUAGCAAAAACCUUGUUUUUUAUCCUGUGCUAUUUCCAUUUAAGAAACAAGCACAGCUGAAUCAUAAUCUCCUUAUCAUCGUUUGAUAGAUGCACUGGAAAGCAAAACCAUGAGAUAACAGACACUUGGGUAAACGCAUGAGGCUUUGGCAGGGCUCUGUCCUUCAGUAAAUUCUGGCACCCUCUUAGACCCUAGUGCAAAAGUGAAGGCUCAGCACCUGCAGGUGCGGAAGGCGGCAAUUUUGCGAGCAGCACUGGGCUCAGUACAGUUCACCUUGAGCUUGAUGUGGGCUGAGGGAUCGUUUUGAUGGAGUUUUGGGAAGUGAAAUCACAGUGACACAUUUUAGUGUUCCUGGAGAAACAGCGACCGUUACUUCAGUGAUUGUUUCAGAAACGCAGUCACGGGAAGCACGCCCGAGUAAAAUGCUCUUCCGUCUCUUGUGCAGCGUUGGUCCCAGCUGCUCUUGAUUAAAGGGGAAUGGGUUCUCAGUACUUAAGGGAUUAAUAAGAGAAGACAAACCAUCUUAAUUAAUAAGUCCUGACAUUUAAGCUUCCUGAGAGCAGGAUGAUAAGAGAGUCAUUAGAGGGUACCGAGAGGAGAUAUUAUAGCAAAAGUUGCAGAAUUGUUGGGUAUUGAUUGGCAAACUGUCUGCACACUUCUUUUCAGAAGGAGAGCCCUGCAGACCCUUCACAAAGCAGCAGAAGCAGAUGGGCUUGUGUUGGGCUGUUUAAUGGAGCAAAAUGCUUUUCAGUUGACAGUCAUUAUGGCUAUGGGGAGGAUAAGGCAUUUUCAGCAAGCUUAAAGAUCAGGAAGCUCUUUAAGACUCAUAAGCUGUAACUUGAGCAGAAAUUACAGCUUUGCACAAGGAUGAAUGUAAGUUGGGUUACGAUCUCCGGUGCCUCCUUCAGCAAUCGGGUGCCUCUGAUGAACGCUGCCUGGCCACUGCAAUUUGCUGUGCUUGUGUUCUUCCUUUGCUUUCUCCUUGGGGAUUAAUAUCCGUUAUGGCAACAUCCUGGUUUCCUCUGCAAAGUGCUUUUGGGACAGCAAUUCCCCAUCAUCCUUUGUAGCAAAGAACAGAUCAAAAGCAAUACCUCUCGAAAUACGUCCAUGCGUGUGCUAUUGCAUCGAUACUGUUUUGUUCACUGGUCCUCGGUGCUCUGCUUUGUUCCAGAAAGUGGUGAAAUUUAGUAAUAGUGCAGACACUGCAUGGCAAAAGUAGUGAGAAUAUAAAUCUUUUCCACUCUUAAAUGCUGAAGAAAGCAUGCUGCCCUUUGGUUUUUAAUAAAAUCAUUUCCUAGAUCA